AACGAACGCUGGCGGCAGGCUUAACACAUGCAAGUCGAACGCCCCGCAAGGGGAGUGGCAGACGGGUGAGUAACGCGUGGGAACAUACCCUUUUCUACGGAAUAGCUCUGGGAAACUGGAAUUAAUACCGUAUACGCCCUACGGGGGAAAGAUUUAUCGGGGAAGGAUUGGCCCGCGUUGGAUUAGCUAGUUGGUGGGGUAAAGGCCUACCAAGGCGACGAUCCAUAGCUGGUCUGAGGGGAUGAUCAGCCACAUUGGGACUGAGACACGGCCCAAACUCCUACGGGAGGCAGCAGUGGGGAAUAUUGGACAAUGGGCGCAAGCCUGAUCCAGCCAUGCCGCGUGAGUGAUGAAGGCCUUAGGGUUGUAAAGCUCUUUCACCGAUGAAGAUAAUGACGGUAGUCGGAGAAGAAGCCCCGGCUAACUUCGUG
rnacentral:rRNA from 1 species